CCCCCCCCCCCCCCCCCCCCCCCCCCCCCCCCCCCCCCCCCCCCCCCCCCCCCCGGGCAGGGCCUCGACAUGGCUGGGACGGGGCCGGGCACCGGCCCCGACGGGCGCAGGGGGAGCGGCGCAGUCAUCCGCGGUCGCUCCACGCGUCCCUCCGUCGAUCGGAAGGAAGCUGGAGUGAAUUUCACCACGGGGUCCCGUGGUGACUGCUGAGGAAGCAAGUAAGUUGGCACAGAACCAGGAGUGAAGUGCCUCCAAUCAGUGUGCAACAAACAUAGCUAAGAAGGAACCUUUGUUCUACUUUUGGUUUGGAGAACAAGAAUCCCUCUGCUGGUCUCUUCCACUUGCAAGGUUGAAUAUCUGUCUGACCUUCAGCUGUACUUGGGAAGAGCAAAACAGCCAUAGGAUAAGAUCAUUUACCAUUAGAAUAAUCGACCUACACAUGUCUAAAGAUGCUCUGACAAAAUUGUUCUCACGUAAUUCCAAUCAUCUAUAUUUUUAGACCAUUAUUAGCUUUUAAGUCUUAAUUGUUGCUGGAUGUGUCCAUUAUGUUACCUGUUAUAUCAUCUGGCUGACAAUUUAAAAGUAAUAUAAUGG
rnacentral:lncRNA from 12 species